rnacentral:rRNA from 1 species
UGUAAGCGUAUACCAAAGUUGUUGCAGUCAAAACGCUCGUAGUCGGAAUUUGGCAGUUCCGGAUGUGUGCACGUCGUGUGCGCACUUCGCGGGGAUUGCUUUUGUGGUCUUGCGUAGGAUGAGGCACUUUUAUUAGUGAACGUCCUCACGCAACCACUUUUUACUGUGAGAAAAUCAGAGUGCUCAAAGCAGGCAUUUGCCGUGAAUGUAUUAGCAUGGAAUAAUAGAAUAGGACUUGGUUCUAUUUUGUUGGUUUGUUGGGACUGAGUAAUGAUUAAGAGGGACAGUUGGGGGCAUUUGUAUUUCGGUGCUAGAGGUGAAAUUCUUAGAUUACCGAAAGACAAACUGCUGCGAAAGCGUCUGCCAAGGAUGUUUUCAUUGA